UACGAGGGGUGCAAGCGUUGCUCGGAAUUAUUGGGCGUAAAGGGUAGGUAGGUGGUCUCAUUUGUCAGGGGUGAAAUCCUUGGGCUUAACUCAAGAAGUGCCCCUGAAACGGUGAGACUGGAGUCCUGGAGAGGGUCGUGGAAUUCCCGGUGUAGCGGUGAAAUGCGUAGAGAUCGGGAGGAACACCGAUGGCGAAGGCAGCCUCCUGGGCCAAUACUGACGCUCAUGCACGAAAGCGUGGGGAGCAAACAGG
rnacentral:rRNA from 1 species